GACGAACGCUGGCGGCGUGCUUAACACAUGCAAGUCGAACGGAAAGGCCCUGCUUUUGUGGGGUGCUCGAGUGGCGAACGCGUGAGUAACACGUGAGUAACCUGCCCUUGACUUUGUGAUAACUUCAGGAAACUGGGGCUAAUACCGGAUAGGAGCUCCUGCUGCAUGGUGGGGGUUGGAAAGUUUCGGCGGUUGGGGAUGGACUCGCGGCUUAUCCGCUUGUUGGUGGGGUAGUGGCUUACCAAGGCUUUGACGGGUAGCCGGCCUGAGAGGGUGACCGGCGACAUUGGGACUGAGAUACGGCGCAGACUGCUACGGGACGCAGCAGUGGGGAAUAUUGCACAAUGGGCGGAAGCCUGAUGCAGCAACGCCGCGUGCGGGAUGACGGCCUUCGGGUUGUAAACCGCUUUCGCCUGUGACGAAGCGUGAGUGACGGUAAUGGGUAAAGAAGCACCGGCUAACUACGUG
rnacentral:rRNA from 1 species